AAAAAUUUAGUUAAACUAUAACGUUAGCUUGUCAAGCUAAAAUUAUUAUUAUUAAUAUUUAAUAAUUUUUA
rnacentral:tRNA from 1 species